rnacentral:lncRNA from 1 species
UCCUCAAAAGACCUAUGCAAAGAGAUUUUCAAUUCUUUCUCGACAACUUCAAAUUAAGGCUUGCCGAUUGGAAGACUCAUUGCCUUACUAUGGCAGGUAGAGCCACCCUUAUCAAAUCUACCCUCAACUCUCUCUCUAACUAUACCAUGUAAUAUAUCUCCAUACCACAAAAUAUCAUCACAUUGUUGGAUAGAUAUAAAAAAUGUUUCUUUUGGGGCUCAACAUCCCAAAAACAGAAACUACAUCUGAUUAAAUGGGAGAUCGUUACAUUACCAAAAUCCCAAGGAGGUCUUGGAAUACAAAACAUCUCGCCCUACUAGCCAACUUAGUACGAAGGCUUUUUAAACAUCCGUCAUCUUUUUGGGCAUCUAUACUAGUCACAACGUACAUUACCUCUAAAAUAUCCUUCUUCAUUUGGAAAAGAACAUCCAACAAGGAUGGCACCAUUGUCAAUUAGGAUCUAAAUGGAUAGUCUCAUCUGACAACCAUAUCAAAUUUUUGACUGACAGUUGGAUUGAUCACAACACUCUCCUUAGAUCCUUAAUUGAAGGUCCCCUACCACUCCUAGAAUCCCAACGCCCAAUUAGCUCCUACAUCCGCAAUUACAACUGGGACCUUGCUAAACUACCUUUUAAUCUUUCCCAGGAAAUACUUCUUAAAUUACUUAGUAUUUACUUAUCCCAAUACCCCAAUCACCAUGUACUCUCAUCUGGAACCUCACAUUUUCAGGACAAUUUACUGUCUAGUCAUGUUAUUACGCAGUAACACCAACUACCCCUUCUAUAAACUAUGCUUGGGCUUGGAAACUGCCCACACCACCGAAAAUCAGAUACUUUCUUUGGCUAUGUAGCCAUCAUAGGCUCCCUACAAAUGCCUACUUAGCUCGCCUUAAUAUUAUCAACAACAACCUUUAUAAUUACUGUUCCACGGCUGAGGAGACUAUACAUCAUAUCUUCUUCGAGUGCUCUGCCUCAAGACCAUUAUGGGCUCACCUAGGACUUCUUCAUCAUAUAAACACCCUUCAACAUCUGAGCACUUCACUAAUUGAGCGAAUCAAGUUUUUAAUCAAAAAUUAUAAUCACCAUAUCCCCUAUAGCAUUCCUCCGUCAACCCUAAUUCUUUAUUAUCUAUGGGGUAUAUGGAUCCAACGCAACCAAAAUCUAUUCCACCCAACAACAAUCUACUCCUGCUUACUAUUUACAAAUCAUUAAAAAAAGCCGUGGAAUUCCACUUCCUCACAUUGCAACCACACAGGAACACAAAACUAACACCUCUCUACAUCAAAUGGAAACCACCCAACCACAACCACUACAAAUUAAACAUUGAUGGAGCAACUAAGUCCCGGGGGUUAAAUGGAAUAGGAUGGGUCAUACGAUCCUCUGAAGGGAACUAACUUUUAGGAUACUCUAAAUGAUAAUAGGCUAGAUUCAUGUAAUUUGGCGACUGUGUACGCCCCAGCUUGACUAUAUUUCAUUGUUAUAAGAUAGUUAAAUGAUGUUAAAUUGGCUCUAAUUGUGAAUUUCAUGUUUUGCAGGAGUGAGUGGCAUGUAUGAGGACUUAAAACUGUAAUUGGAGCUAAAUGGAAGCAAGAGAAGCCCCUAAGAGCUGAUUACGUAGGAAAACAAGAGAAAAAAGAGUUGAAAUGAAGACCCAGACUAGCGCGGCCACUAGCACGACUGCGUUAGCCCAGGAAUUCGAGGCAAAAUGGUAGGCCAUAUGUGUGGUCAUUAGCGCGUCUACUAGCGCGACUGCGCUAGCCCAGUUCUGGAAAAAUAAACUUCAGGGGUAAACUUGGAAGUUCGGGGGUAAAUCCACUUAACCUAUAGAAAGUCCAGCUCGCCCAUGGGAGGAUUAUAAAGGUUUUCAUAGCUUAGUUCAAGGCAAGGAGAGGCAAAAGGCAAGGGGGAUAAUUCAACAUCGAUUUCUUCCUUUAUCCUUUUUGUGUUUUACUAUUUGUGAUGAAUUUGACUAGUGUUAUGAUGAACACUAGUAUGAGUAGCUAUAUAUUUAGUCUAAUGUUUUGAUGGAACCUAUUGAAGGAUGA